rnacentral:lncRNA from 1 species
UCCUGGAGCCCCUUGGAGGAUUGCAGCGUCUGGGACACAGGACCUCGGCAGGAGCCGGGCUCUCGUACCUGCCAGCCACACUGGAGACGGGGAGCCUGUCUCGGCUCAACCACCGUCCACAGCCCGGCAUCUCGGCUCCCCUCUGCAGCGGCCGUCCUGAGCUACACCUCAGAAGGGGGCUGCGGGCAGAGGCGCCCUCCAUCUUGGGCCCCAGCAGGUGCAUUUGAGGCCUCUGAGGAGGAAGCACCCUGCGUGGUGAGUGGGCAGGUGGGACCUACAGGGUACCGGCUCCGGGCGCUCUCUUUCCCUGCUCCUCAGCCUCCCUGGGGGGCAGCACACACAGCUGAGGCCGUCCGUCCCCAAGGCCACCAAGAAAUGCUUAAUUGCUUUCUAAGAGAAUUGUCACCUCCUUCUGGUAUCCUCGCCCUCGCCACGCCUUCCCCAACCACUGGAGGUGCUUACUCCGGGAGGGAGGGCCGAAGACCUGCGCUCGCUGGCUGAGUCCCAAAGUAACCAGGAGCCCCGGGCUGCCGGGCAGCUCCCUUCUCCAAACACAGGGCUGUGCCGCCUUCACGGAGAAAAAGAGCCCUGUGUUUGGGGGAAGAGCCGUGCAUUCUGCCGGGAGCCAGGCGCUCAUGGGCAGCAGAUGGAUGAUGGCCCGGGCGGGCUGAGUCAGCAGGACCUGGGAGCGAGCAGACAGCGCAAGCCCAGGUGGGCUGGAGCCAGGCGGGGAAAGUGAAAUACUGGGCCGGUUGGAGGCCUGCAUCCCGGGACUUAAGUCAGCAUCCUGUGUGACUGGAUUUAGGCAGGACCCGGGAGAGGACACCCCCAAAUCUGUGUUGCUUCAAACACCUUAGGGAUGUCGUCCUCACACACAGCCCAAGGUGGACACGGCUGGUUGGCCAGCGGCUCUCCUCCGCCGGUGAUUCAGAGCCUGGGGCGGCUCUGUCUCUGGGCCCUGCCAUUCCCCAGGGCCUCCUCGUCACCUGCCUCCAGCUGCCAGAGGGGAGGAUCUUGCCCUGGCUCAGCAGCGGGGCUCUGCUCCCAUCCUAUUGUUCCAGCAUCCAGAGCCUGGAGCCUUCGUCCAGCGGUCACCCGUGGAGCAAAUCACCGCCCCUUCGGCAGCCGGACCCAGCAGGCACCUGUGAGGCCACAGUCCUGUGGGCCAUUCUCCACGGCGGCUCUGCUUAGAGCAUCCCAAGGCCAAGGUCAAGGUCAAGGUGUUGAGGGGCUGCGCUGUGAGUCUGGAGGCUCCAGGGAAGAACCCACCUCCACGCCUGUUCCUUACAGCUGUCGAGUGAGGUCCCUGUUUGCUUGCUGGCUGUUGACCGGGGGUCUCUGGGAGCUCCCGGAGGCGGCUUUCAAGCAGCCCCAUCUGUAA